rnacentral:rRNA from 1 species
CUACGGGAGCAGCAGUGGGGAAUAUUGCACAAUGGAGGAAACUCUGAUGCAGCAACGCCGCGUGGAGGAUGACACUUUUCGGAGCGUAAACUCCUUUUAUAUAGGAAGAUAAUGACGGUACUAUAUGAAUAAGCACCGGCUAACUCCGUGCCAGCAGCCGCGGUAAUACGGAGGGUGCAAGCGUUACUCGGAAUCACUGGGCGUAAAGAGCGUGUAGGCGGAUAGAUAAGUCAGGAGUGAAAUCCUAUGGCUCAACCAUAGAACUGCUCUUGAAACUGUCUAUCUAGAAUAUGGGAGAGGUAGAUGGAAUUUCUGGUGUAGGGGUAAAAUCCGUAGAGAUCAGAAGGAAUACCGAUUGCGAAGGCGAUCUACUGGAACAUUAUUGACGCUGAGACGCGAAAGCGUGGGGAGCAAACAGGAUUAGAUACCCGCGUAGUC